CCCCAGCCUAGGCAUUUCUCACCACAGAUCUGAGGUGGCUCCUGAAUUUAUAAUGUCCCUCUGUGAUUUAAAACUUCGUUCAUAAGUAGCCUCUUAAGAAUCUUUGUUUUGGUUUCUCCCUAGUAAAAUGUAAGAUUCAAACUGCUUCAGCUGGAGCAUAAUGAGGUUAGUUGCAUCAUUAUUGGGUUAGAAAAGGAAGCAGCAUUUGCUUCAAGGGAACCCAGAUAGAAUUCUGUGAGUGUUCCGAAGACCUAGGACAUGGCUGAGGAACAGUGACACAAUCCUUCUGAACUUCUUUGUUUUCAGUGGUCUUGUGAUCUAUCAGAAUCACCAUUUCCUCACCCAAGUGCUAGAUAAGAAACCACAUUCCAGCUUCUUUGCUGUCCCACAAGGCAGAGACGACUUCGUUUGCAUCUCAAUGUCUCACCUAGUCACAGGAGUUGGGAAAUGAUGCAAGGCAUUGCUUGCCUUGCAAGAAAGACCAGGAAGACUGAGGAAAGAAGAAGCAGUAAUGUGCAGCUGUGACCACUGAAAUCAAAUGAAUGACUAUGAACAAAUCAUUAUAGGCUCUUCAAUACCAUGAUUAGCCAUGGCAGUACUACUACAUUAGCACAGCUGGACAUCCACUCUAAAUAGUCUUACAUUGUAACAAGGCAAGGACACUCAAGAAUGGCUCCAUACUGCCACAGCUAUCUUCUUCUUGUGUUUCAUGAAAAAAUAUACUCAUAACUCAAAUAUGAGUCACAAACAUUAUUUCAUCUGUUGUUCAAUAGACUGAGUUUGUACUGUCCUAAACCAUUCAUGGACUGUAAAUUAAAAUUCCUAGAAAGAAGGGUCAAUUAUCAAUGGAAAAAUAUACUUCAGUGAUGUUCUGUAUUUAGUGUACUGUAAUAAUUUAAAUUAAAAUGUUCCAUCAUAAUAUUACGAAAAA